rnacentral:rRNA from 1 species
AUAAUAAUUAGUCUUUUAAAUGAAGGCUGGAAUGAAUGAUUGGACGAGGUAGAUUCUGUCUCAUUAAAAUUAAAAUUUAAAUUUAAUUUUUAAGUUAAAAAGCUUAAAUAUUAUUAAAGGACGAGAAGACCCUAUAGAGCUUUAUAAUAUAAUUAUUAAUAAAUUUUAAUUUUAUUUUAUUAAUUAAAUAUUAUUUUGUUGGGGU